GAAUUUCUUGAUGGAAAAGAAAUUAAACCAAUGGAAAGACAAUUCCUAAUGAAUUGGAAAGCAUCCAAAGAUGCCAAAAAAUUCAACAAGAAAAAGGGCAUGAAAAAUGAGGAGACAAGCAACUCAUACUAUAAAAAUCUGGUUCUGAAAGAAUCUUGAAGCUUGCUGACCAAAAAAUUAUAUAUAUGAACCUCGCUUUCUCCAUAACCCAAAAGAAAAUAACUUUGUGGGGAAAAAACAAGUAAAUUCAGUCUAAAUUUAUCUGAAAUGUUUGAUUUUUUUUAACUUGAUAAAGCUUAUAGGACUUUUGUGGGUUUGUAGUUUUAAGAUAUCAUAUUAAAAAAGCUUUACCGUCU
rnacentral:lncRNA from 1 species